AUUUAUUUAAUAUAAAAAGUAUAUUUAACUUCCAAUUAAAUAGUCUUAAUUUUAAUUAAGAAUAAAUA
rnacentral:tRNA from 1 species